CGGUUCGUAGCUCAGUUUGGCAAGAGCGCUGGCUUGAAACCCCAGAGGCCCCAGGUUCGACUCCUGGCGUUCCGG
rnacentral:tRNA from 1 species